UCAACUUUCUCUUUCUAAAACUCACUCUCUCUUUCUAAAAGUCACUUUCUUUAUCUCAAAUCCAAACCACCAUCUCAUCUCUCAACGAUUUACUUCUAUAAGCCUUCUCCUCUUCCACCGAUUUCGAUCUGACAGGGUUUUUGAAAUUGAUUUACAGUACAGAGGAGAAGAAAACGGAUAAUGAGAAGAUGCAUGCCUUACAAAAACUUAUUCCAGAUUCAUAUAAGGUGUUGGUUUAGAGAAGCCAAACGCGUGUGCGUUUAAUACUACA